AUGUGGGAAGAGAUCCACCAGGAGAGAGCUCAUCUACCCUGCCAAAUCCUGGAGAGGCACAGUAAAGUGGACGUUAAAACCAAUUUUACGGUUCCGCUGUGGCCUGCGGCCCAGGGACUGCUUCGAAACUACUGGGAGCUACUACUGCGGAAGCUUCCACAGAGCCGGCUGGGCUUUCCUAGUCCUCCGUGGGGACCAGCAUUAGCAGUACAGGGCCCAGCCAUAUUUACAGAGCCAGCAAAUGAUACCAGUGGAAAUAAUGAGAAUUCCAGCCUUUUGUAUAGUAUCUUUUGGAUUGCAGCUCCCAAAAACAGACGAACCACUGAAGUUAACUUGUGUAGGAGAAGAAACCCUCAGAAGCUUAUUAAAGUUAAGAACAGGAUAGAUGUUUGUCCUGAAUGUGGUCACCUGAAACAGAAAUAUGUCCUUUGUGGCUACUGCUAUGAGAAAGUGCACAAGGAGACUGCAGAAAUCAAACGACAGAUAGAGAAACAAGAAGGGGGCCCUUUUAAGGCUCCCACCAUAGAGACUAUGGUGCUGUACACGGGAGAGACACCGUCUGAACAAGAUCAGGGCAAGAGGAUCAUUAAACGAGACAGAAAGCGACCAUCUUGGUUCACCCAGAAUUGACACCAAAGAUGUUAAAAGGAUAACUUCACAGUAAAUCAUUUCUCCUGAAAUAGAGGAAGAUUCUUUAUGUUGUUGUGCUUGUUUUUUAAUUAUCAAUAUAGUUUAACACAUUCUUUCUAAGCAGUUUUGUGUGGGAUAAUUUGAAGAAUGUAUUAUGAGUAAACGCUGAAAAUUUUGUUUAUCCAAAGGCUCAAUGGAUUAUGUUUCUAUUACAUAUAAGGAUUAAGUAAACAUCAAAUUUCCAGAACAAAAAUAAAAAAUUUAAAAUUCAUAGCAAGAAAAAAAAAACAA